CCCCAAAUCCCAGUUUGAGUGGCAGGAAAAUGCGGAGCUCAAACGUUCGUGGCUUCCAGCGAAUUCUCGCAUCCGGAAAAUCCCGAGCCGAGAAGAGGGCGAUGGUCCCUGUGUCUCAAUUUGUUUUUACAACUCACCUGAAGACCUGGCCCCCCCGAGACCUGAGCGUCAGGACGUUGCCACUCAAACUUUGCCCCCUGGUGCUUGUGGAGAUGCUCCCACUCCAUCCAAGAUGGAGUCCGUCUGUCAUGAGCAGCACGUGAUGGCUGAAGGGGGCAACAGUGGAGACGAGACAAAGGGAAUGGUGUGGUCUAAGGGCACACCCCAGGCUGAGUUCCCCCAGAUGGGUAGAGGUGUGGACAUCCCAGGGCCAGUGUCGGAGCUCCAGCCCUCCAAGGCUCCCAGAGACUGCCCACAGCCUAAAACUUUGCCCGGACUGUCAGCGCCUCCCCGUGUCAAACCUCCCAGACUACAAAGGUAUUCUAGCCAUCAUUUAAUGUUUGUGAAGAUGCUUUUAAUUCCCUUCCCGGGAAUUCAGAUUAUUUAUGGGGACCAGAGCAGUUGUGACUUCUCCUUUCUGCAGGAGAGGACGCGUCAGCAUGGGGAGAAGAUACCAACAGAGGGAAGCAGACAAGACAAAGGAGCUGGUAAGCAACUGCUGGUUUUGCCUUGUGGACACACCAGUGCUCAGUUUCCACAUUGACCCAGUGCUGCUUUAUAGGACGCAGAGAGGAAGCCGUCACCUCUUCCUGAGAUCGAGGAGGCCAACUUCCCUUCUCUUUCUGCGGUGAAUGUUUCCACAGCAACAGUACCUGCAACUGAGAACAAGGUGGGCUCCAAACUGUCAUAUGCACAGGUCUGUCGGAUGCCACCACGUAAGCGUGCCCCAUCCCCAGACCUUCGCCCACCCUACCCAGACCUUCGCCCACCCUACUCGGACCUUCGCCCACCCUACCCAGACCUUCGCCCACCCUACUCAGACCUUAGCCCACCCUACCCAGACCUUCGCCCACCCUACCCAGACCUUAGCCCACCCUUCUCAGACCUUAGCCCACCCUACUCAGACCUUAGCCCACCCUACCCAGACCUUCGCCCACCCUACCCAGACCUUAGCCCACCCUUCUCAGACCUUAGCCCACCCUACUCAGAACAACAGCCCCAAGCAGCAGAGACUCGCCGUCCAAAAAAGUGGAGAUAUUAAUGGCUGUGAACGGACUUUUGUUUUCUGUCUUUACAAAAGAAGCCAAACAGAAUCUGCACCUCUUCCAUUGCUGCUUUAGGGGACUUUUUUCUUUAGUUUGUUUAGAUUCCAGUGUUUUUCUUUAAACACACCUGCAUAAUUGAUGCUUAUCAUUCUGAUUUCUUCUAUUAAAAAGCACUGAGCAAUAUGUCUCUUUGCAUCUUAUUUAUCUAAUGUUGGUACUGAGUUUGUUAGGCUUUUAUUUGAGUUCAUCAGGAGUGCUUUGGAUGUAGAAACUUCUGUUUGAGUAAAGAGGAUUUGUUGAUGUACCUCAUUCAUGAAUGUGUGCACAAUGUCCAGGUACAGGUGAGUUACUGAUGGAUGCAUAUAUGACUGAACACUACUAAAGUGUAUUUUGCACUUUGUUUUUCUGUUUUUUGUCAUAACAUCUUCCAUCCAGCAGGGAGCAGAAUAUCCAUCAGGUUUAUUGCUUUUUUU
rnacentral:lncRNA from 1 species